UGAACGCUGGCGGCGCGCUUAACACAUGCAAGUCGAGCGAGGCCACGGUUUCGGCCGUGAGUCGAGCGGCGAACGGGUGAGUAACGCGUGGGUAACCUACCCCGGAGCGGGGGAUAGCUCCUCGAAAGAGGGGGUAAUACCGCGUACGAUCACUGGUGCACAAGCAUCGGUGAAGAAAGGUGGGGCUCCUUCGGGACCUGCCACUCUGGGAUGGGCCCGCGUCCGAUUAGCUUGUUGGUGAGGUAAUGGCUCACCAAGGCUUCUAUCGGUAGCCGGCCUGAGAGGGUGAUCGGCCACAUUGGGACUGAGACACGGCCCAGACUCCUACGGGAGGCAGCAGUGGGGAAUUUUGGGCAAUGGGCGAAAGCCUGACCCAGCGACGCCGCGUGGGGGAUGAAGGCCUUUGGGUUGUAAACCCCUGUCAGGGGGGGCGAAAGCUUCUCGAUCAAUACCCGAGAAGUCUGACGGUACCCCCAAAGGAAGCCCCGGCUAACUCC
rnacentral:rRNA from 1 species